AUGGUGGAAGGCUCCGCGGUUGACAUCACAAAUCUGAAAUUCCUCCUCCUCUGCUUCCAGCAGAUGUCGAGUCUCAAGAUUAACUUCGACAAGAGCGCGGUCAUGGUUCUCGGCUACGGCCCGGACGAAUGCCAAAGUAUUGCUGACUGCCUUAAUUGCCAGUUGGGUUCCUUCCCCACAUCCUAUCUAGGGAUACCCAUUAGUGACUCUCGGCUGACAGUGGCGGAGCUGCUCCCGACGGUGACUAAGCUACAACACCGAGUCGAACCCUGGCAGGGUAGGUGGCUGUCCAAGGUGGCCCGAACAGUACUCAUUAAUUCCUCGCUAUCUAGCUUGUUGCUGUUCAUCAUGAGCUUCUACAACCUUCAUGAGACCCUUCAUCAUGAGAUAGCCAAGUUUCAAGCGUGUUUCUUCUGGGCGGGGGAGGGCGAUAAGCAAAAGUACCACAUGGUCCGUUGACCCGAGAUCUGUAAGCCGCACGACCAGGGCGGGCUCGGGAUCAUGUCCUCCAAACGCAUGAACAUCGCCCUACUCACACGCUGGCUAUGGCGCAUCGCGAACGGGGAGGGAGGUCUGUGG
rnacentral:rRNA from 1 species